rnacentral:rRNA from 1 species
CCUACGGGGGGCAGCAGUGAGGAAUAUUGGUCAAUGGGCGAGAGCCUGAACCAGCCAAGUCGCGUGAAGGAUGACGGCCCUACGGGUUGUAAACUUCUUUUGUCAGGGAGCAAUUGAGUCCACGUGUGGGCUUAUCGAUAGUACCUGAAGAAAAAGCAUCGGCUAACUCCUUGCCAGCAGCCGCGGUAAUACGGAGGAUGCGAGCGUUAUCCGGAUUUAUUGGGUUUAAGGGGUGCGUAGGCGGAAUAUCAAGUCAGUGGGAAAAAUUCGGGGCCAAACCCCGUCGUGCCGUUGAAACUGAUGGUCUUGAGUGGGCGAGAAGUAUGCGGAAUGCGUGGUGUAGCGGUGAAAUGCAUAGAUAUCACGAAGAACUCCGAUUGCGAAGGCAGCAUACCGGAGCCCAACUGACGCUGAAGCACGAAAGCGUGGGUAUCGAACAGGAUUAGAUACCCGAGUAGUC